AGAACGAACGCUGGCGGCACGCCUAACACAUGCAAGUCGAGCGCCCAGCAAUGGGAGCGGCGGACGAGUGAGUAACACGUGGGAACAUGCCUUUUGGUUCGGCACAACUCAGGGAAACUUGAGCUAAUUCCGGAUGAGCCCGUAAGGGGAAAGAUUUAUCGCCAAAAGAUUGGCCCGCGUAAGAUUAGCUAGUUGGUGAGGUAAUGGCUCACCAAGGCAACGAUCUUUAGCUGGUUUGAGAGAACGACCAGCCACGUUGGGACUGAGACACGGCCCAAACUCCUACGGGAGGCAGCAGUGGGGAAUCUUGGACAAUGGGGGAAACCCUGAUCCAGCGAUGCCGCGUGAGUGAUGAAGGCCUUCGGGUUGUAAAACUCUUUUACCCGGGAAGAUAAUGACUGUACCGGGAGAAUAAGCUCCGGCUAACUUCGCGCCAGCAGCCGC
rnacentral:rRNA from 1 species